rnacentral:rRNA from 1 species
GGGGGAAUCUUGCGCAAUGGCCGAAAGGCUGACGCAGCGACGCCGCGUGCGGGAGGAAGCCCUUCGGGGUGUAAACCGCUGUCAGGGGGGAAGAAACCCAAGGGUUCGAACAGGGCCUUUGGCUGACGGUACCCCCAGAGGAAGCGCCGGCUAACUACGUGCCAGCAGCCGCGGUAAUACGUAGGGUGCAAGCGUUAAUCGGAAUUACUGGGCGUAAAGCGUGCGUAGGCGGUUCGGAAAGAAAGAUGUGAAAUCCCAGGGCUCAACCUUGGAACUGCAUUUUUAACUACCGGGCUAGAGUGUGUCAGAGGGGGGUGGAAUUCCGCGUGUAGCGGUGAAAUGCGCAGAUAUCAGGAGGAACACCGGUGGCGAAGGCGGCUUGCUGGGCCUGUCCUGACGCUGAGGAGCGAAAGCGUGGGGAGCGAACAGGAUUAGAUACCC